UACAUUGAUGAAGGUGCAUUUGCAUUUGUAUGCAUGUGUAUACACAUUCAAAAAGCUGUGAAAAGAAAUAUUAUGUCACUUGCUUCAAAAAUUACUUUUACAUUAUGUUGUGCAACUUCAAUAGGUUUGGUAGGUUAUGUGCAUUACAUGCAAGAAGCUGAGAGAAAGGAACUUGAAAUAGGUGUAAAACGCGAUAUUGAACGUCAAGAGCGCCAUAAAUUUCUAAAUACUGUAUUGUCACAA